rnacentral:rRNA from 1 species
AGAGAGAGACAUGCGCGCAUAUCAAUAAGCGGAGGAAAAGAAACUAACAAGGAUUCCCCUAGUAACGGCGAGUGAGCGGGAAGAGCUCAAAUUUGAAAUCUUAAAGGGUUUCCCUUUACGAAUUGUAGUUUAAAGAAGUGUUUUCUGUUGAGGUUUUGGUAAAAGUUCUUUGGAAUAGGACAUCAUAGAGGGUGAGAAUCCCGUAUUUGACCUUUACUUUCAACUUUGUGAUACACUUUCAAAGAGUCGGAUUGUUUGGGAAUGCAGUCCAAAAUGGGUGGUAAAUUUCAUCUAAAGCUAAAUACUGGCGAGAGACCGAUAGCGAACAAGUACCGUGAGGGAAAGAUGAUAAGAACUUUGAAAAGAGAGUUAAACAGUACGUGAAAUUGUCAAAAGGGAAGCGUUUGACACCAGUGUUGUUUUUCUGAAAAUCAAUUAAAGAACUGUUUAUGCUAAGUUGUUUAGACUUUAUCAGCUAUCUGUUUAGUUUUGAGCUUUUCUUUAAUGCACUUUUCAGUUAACAAGUCAACAUCAAUUUCUUUUGCUGUAAAAAAGCUUGAGGAAGGUGGCUUGAGAUUCGUCUUAAGUGUUUAUAGCCUCUUGCCUAUGCAGUCGGAGAGAUUGAGGUCUGCAGCGUAGAUCCUUCGGGGCUAAAUGCAUUUGUGCUAAGUUAUAACAUUUUAUAGACAACUUGUUGACUAUGAUUUGUCUUGUAGCUUACUCGCUUAUGUUAUUUUACCUACGCUUAGGAUGUUGAUGUGAUACUGCGAGC